rnacentral:ncRNA from 1 species
CUAGUACGAGAGGACCGGGGUGAACUGACCUCUGGUGUGUCUGCUGUCCUGCCAAGGGCACCGCAGAGUAGCUAAGUCGGGAAUGGAUAAACUCUGAAAGCAUCUAAGAGUGAAACCAACUUCAAGAUUAGGAAUCGUUUGAGGCCCGUGAGAGAUGAUCACGUGAUAGGCACUAGAUGGAAGCACAGCAAUGUGUGUAGUCGAGGUGUACUAAUUAGCCGAUUUCUAUUAGGAA